rnacentral:rRNA from 1 species
GAUGAACGCUGGCGGCGUGCCUAACACAUGCAAGUCGAGCGAAGCGCUUAAAUUAGAUUUCUUCGGAAUGACGAUUUUUGUGACUGAGCGGCGGACGGGUGAGUAACGCGUGGGUAACCUGCCUCAUACAGGGGGAUAACAGUUAGAAAUGACUGCUAAUACCGCAUAAGACCCCAGCUUCGCAUGGAGCGGUGGUAAAAACUCCGGUGGUAUGAGAUGGACCCGCGUCUGAUUAGCUAGUUGGUAAGGUAACGGCUUACCAAGGCGACGAUCAGUAGCCGACCUGAGAGGGUGACCGGCCACAUUGGGACUGAGACACGGCCCAGACUCCUACGGGAGGCAGCAGUGGGGAAUAUUGCACAAUGGGGGAAACCCUGAUGCAGCGACGCCGCGUGAAGGAUGAAGUAUUUCGGUAUGUAAACUUCUAUCAGCAGGGAAGAAAGUGACGGUACCUGACUAAGAAGCCCCGGCUAACUACGUG